rnacentral:lncRNA from 1 species
AUGCCAGAAUUUGGCAGAAGAGCAAGGCUGGGUCCUCUCCAGCAUCCCACAGCUCUUCCCUGCAAGGGGAAUUUCCAGAUGAUUCUCAUUUUAUACAAGAAAGCAAUUCAAUCCAAAAUAACGCUGGGUUGUUCUCUGCUCACAUGCAUCCUACAAGCUUUCAUUCUUUGCAGAGAAAUGAAGAUGACCGCAGGGCAGGAAAAAUACAACUGCAGUGCUGGAGUCUCAGCUAAGGUGGGGAAUCUGUCAGAUGGGAAAUGUGACUGCACUGACAGACAAGCCUGUGAACCUGCUUGGUGAAGGCGCUUUAUAAACUCCUGCUAGAGGCAUGUGGCUCCAGACACUGACCAGUGUGAUCCAACCUUUGGUUGGAUGCAGACUGUGCAGUAAGAGAAGCACUGAGUGCAAGUGUACGAAUAGAUGUGCAAUUGCAUGUGUCCAAAAUAAA